ACGAGCUGAGCAAAAUUCAUAAAGUCCACAGAUGCAAAUUUAAAGUUGGAAAUGAAGCAACGACUUCCAAAACAAAGCAUUCCUUUUUAUUCAUUGAAGUCUUUACAAAGAAAAAAUCAGUGCUCCAAGUACUUUAUAAAGAAAAAGUCAGUGUUCCAAGCACUUUACAAAGAAAAAGUUGGUGUUUCAAAUACUUUAGAAGAUGGUUGCUCCAAGCACCGUCUUGUGAACAAGAGAAGAAAAUAAGAAAGGAAAGAGGAAGAAGAGGAGGA
rnacentral:lncRNA from 1 species